rnacentral:lncRNA from 1 species
GAGUUGUCGGCGACGUUUUUCGGUGGUGGUUGAUUCCAACGAAGCUCGUAGUCUCGUUUUGUUGUCCCCAAAAAGGUAAACACACCUUUUUUUAUUUUAGUUUUUAUUAGUAUUUUCUUCUUCAUCUUUUUUCUUCUUCGUAGUUCGUAGAUAUAAUUUUGUUUGCUUGGAUUGUAUGCUGUAGAUGGCCUUGAAGGCCCUAGAACGUUGUG